GUGGGGAAUUUUGCGCAAUGGGGGAAACCCUGACGCAGCGACGCCGCGUGAAGGACGAAGGCCUUCGGGUUGUAAACUUCUUUUAUAGGGGAAGAUAGUGACGGUACCCUAUGAAUAAGCCACGGCUAACUCUGUGCCAGCAGCCGCGGUAAGACAGAGGUGGCAAGCGUUGUUCGGAAUUACUGGGCUUAAAGGGCGCGUAGGCGGUGGGAUAAGUCUGUGGUGGAAUCUUGCGGCUCAACCGCAAAAUUGCCAUGGAAACUAUUUCACUUGAGUCAGCGAGGGGAUGGCGGAAUUCCUGGUGUAGCAGUGAAAUGCGUAGAUAUCAGGAGGAAGGCCGGUGGCGAAGGCGGCCAUCUGGCGCUUGACUGACGCUGAGGCGCGAAAGCGUGGGGAGCAAACAGGAUUAGAAACCCGAGUAGUCC
rnacentral:rRNA from 1 species